rnacentral:rRNA from 1 species
GAAACCUAGGGACGCAGCAGUCGAGAAUCAUUCACAAUGGGGGAAACCCUGAUGGUGCGACGCCGCGUGGGGGAAUAAAGGUCUUCGGAUUGUAAACCCCUGUCAUGUGGGAGCAAAUUAAAAAGAUAGUACCACAAGAGGAAGAGACGGCUAACUCUGUGCCAGCAGCCGCGGUAAUACAGAGGUCUCAAGCGUUGUUCGGAAUCACUGGGCGUAAAGCGUGCGUAGGCUGUUUCGUAAGUCGUGUGUGAAAGGCGCGGGCUCAACCCGCGGACGGCACAUGAUACUGCGAGACUAGAGUAAUG